rnacentral:misc_RNA from 1 species
UUUGCACGGAUUGUCAGGUUUGCCAUACAGAAAGAGGACACGUUAAAAGAUGACAGCCGCGUUAACCUUUCUUUGUGUUGUUUCUGUUUGGAGUGGGGUGUUGUCCGAUGUACAUGUAGGAGGAAUAGGUUCAGUAAAAAUUUUAAUUUACACUGUAUUUUUAUUCAUAAUUGUCUUAAUUAUAAAUCGGAUGCGAUACCUGUAGAUCAUCAAUGCUGUGUAUAAUAUUUGAUAAAGAGGAAGGAGUUGUUCUACGCGGUAUUUCCUCACGUACAUGUACACAUGAAAGGCAAAGUUUUUGUGAAUAUCUCUUCACUUUUCUUUCAAUAAUUCCGCCAAGAGAAGUUUUAAAAAGUUGACUGAUUUGCUCAAUUCUACUGUUGGUACAGAGCUGGGGGUCGCUGACACUCGGCUGAAGUAUGUACAGAGUACUGUCACAGGCAGCUGUCGGUGUGGCGGGUCCUCGUGUCAAUGCUGCCAGACCAUCCGGGUCUUAACGGAGAAAGAAGACGGUAGUAAAAAAUUGGUCAUAUAUUCUAUCUGAUUAAAAUCAGAUCCUCAAUAUGCUCCUUGAUUUUCUAGCGACAAUAAAAAAAAAACAAGGAUCGGAUCGAGGAUCUGAUUUUAAUCAGAUUGAAACUUUAAUAUAUUGAUUUAUUAAGAAACAGUUUUUCAUCAUUUUUUUAAGCAUGAAGCUUCUAUAUAUAAGUUCAUAUUUUAAAUAAACGUGUAUAAUUAUGAUGUUAAUUGAUAUCUAUUAAAAUCUAGAGGUAUCCAUUGUGUCUGUUAUUCCCAGUACAUGACGUCAUCUCUGGCAUGCUUGUCAAAGAAUUUCCUUUUUAUUCUUUUUGGCGCACAAACCCACCUUGCAGUGGUCAAACGACCUCUCUUGCAUCACCGAAAACAUAUAUCCUCUUUAUCACCUCGUCACACUCUUGAGUACCCCUAUAAUCGUAUACAUUGGCCAUGAUUUUGCGACAAUGAUCCUCUAUCGUUUUAAUUAAAUUGUAUACAUCCGAUUGCGACGAUGACCAUCUGUCGUCUUUAAAUUUUAUACGUCUGAUUUAGAUAGUUAAAUUUCCUGCAACGCAUGCAUCCAUAGACUACAAAGUUCAAUUAAAAGCAGAAGUAUAUAGAUACAUGUACAAGUACACAUUCAAGUAGUUUUAAUAAUUUUCUCGCUCACUUUGGUGAAUCAAUUUCCUGUUAAAGAACCAAAAUUGUGCUUUAUGGUUUUAAAGUUAUGAUAAUUGCAGAUAAUUUGCACGUUUUAUAUUUAACCAAGAUUGAUAUGAAUUUUGUAUCGAAAUAAAGACAGGUUGAAAGAAAUACCAACCUCGGAUAUAACAAGUAUCGGUUAUAACGAGAAGUAAAACUAUGUCCCCAGCAUCUCGUUAUACCCGGAAGCCACUGUACAUGUUCUUUUUUUGUAGUGUGUAUCAAAGUACAAUACUUGAAGAAAAACAGUGGAGUUUUGCUUACUGUAACUUGGGGAGGAAAGGUUGUUUACAGUAAAGAAGUGUCGGGUUUGUUAUCUUUAAUACAUGUGACAUCAAUUUCACUUUCUGAUACAAUCAAUUUAAUCUAACGAAAAUGGCGACAUUUUCUAUAAUGAAUUUAACAAUACUAUGACGUCAUUUCGUGUUACAGUCAGAAACCCGCCAGCAAUUUGCCUGAAAGUUCCUUUCCUGAAAAAAGUGGGCAAGCUUUGCGUGCAGUGAUACAACAUGGAUGUCGGUAAAAGUGGUCUGUCUGGAUGCGCACGCAUAUCUCUCAAAGUUGCGUUCAUUAAGGUGGUAAAAGUUGAGCUGGGAUGCUUCAAAAUUCCGUUUGCCGAAGAAAAAAUAAUGGAGCUCACAGCUGAUUCCAAAAUGGAGGUGUUGCUACGUAAUCGCGAAAGAGAUCUCGAGAUGAAACUUUUUGCCAUUUAUCUGAAGCAUUUGUUUCGAGAAGACCAAUGAACUUAUUCUUGUAUAGUCUGACCCAUGAAUAUCUACAUGGACACAAAGUGUAUAGUGUAGAAGUCUAAAAAUUUCAGAUGCUUUAUUUUUAUAUGAAAUAAGUUUUCAAUAUUUGCAUUUCUAUAAAAUUUAUUCUUUAAACCUAUUUCUCGGCAAAAAAUGUUUAAAGUUAAUGUUUGUCUUUUAAGAAAAAAUUAAACUAAGGUC